rnacentral:lncRNA from 1 species
GGAAAUGUCAAGUUUAAACUCUGGUUCCUUCAACAGCUUUACAGUCCUUUCCAUUCCUCCCAUCUGCUCCUGACACAUUUUAUGGAAAUAAAUGAAGUAUGAACAGCACGUGCCCCCAGUGGCUGGGGGGACAUGGCAGCAACAGGAACAGGGCAGUGUCUUUCAGAAUACUUAAUCUGCCCUCACAACAGCUGUUUAGUAUUUGUGGAAAUAUCUCAAGCCCUAGGAUCUGCACUGGAAGCUUUGGCAUCACCAUCCAAAAGCAAUGCAAGAUGCUGGGCUGCGUUCUGGUCAGUCUGCAUGUUCGCAGCGAGUGAGAUCUCGGAAUGGCGUGUGCUCAUUGAGCCUUGCUUCAGUUCCAUGGCCCUAUCCAAGAAGUACCUGACCCUGUCCUAUGACUUGGAGAACUUCAGCAUACGUUUCCAAGGUCAUCACAGUGCUGUUCAAACAAAGCAACUUUGAAAAGAAAUCACUCCCUUCUACAAUGAUGGUAAACUCAUGAGAAGUCCCAGCUGCCUUUCCAGCAGUGAAAAAACUUCCUCUUCCAGGCUGAAAAGGGAGAAGAGUGAAAGUUUCUGAACAUAUGAAGCUGAAAAGGGAGGAAGACUAGAUGUGUCGGGGAUAGGUUUUCAGUUUUCAGUGAUCAGUUUACAGAGCUGGAUCCAGAUAAAAAUCUAUUUUUGGGUCUUAUAAAAUGACUGGUGGGUAUCUGACCAAUUUACAGUGUUCACAUCACUAAAAUCAAUAUCACAAAAAUCAGCCCUAACCAACCAUAUCAAGGGUAACUAAAACAAAGCGGCCAUAUAAAUCUGGACUAUUUCAAUGGCAAAGAUGGCCUUGCAAAACCACCAUUAAAGAAAAGUAAUAUGGAGGGUCAAAAACUAGUGGCUAUCAAUUGAUUGAACCAAACCAAACCUACGAUGACCUUCAGAGUCCACUCAACUAAAGGAACCUACUUUAUAACAUUAGCUCUGAAAUGUCUUUUCAAGAGAAGACUAGAGUAUCCAAAUAAAUUAUGUUGCCCUAUAACUACGAGUCA